rnacentral:lncRNA from 1 species
AGUUUCCGUUUAGGUAAAAUGGAUAGAAUAAUAGUACUUACCUCAAAGGAUUGUUGAAGAGAAUCAACAAGAUGAUAUCCCUGAAGCACUGGGAAUAGUGUCUGGCACACAGCACUCUCCCAGGAGCACACCGCGGCGCUAGAGAAGACCAGGAAAAAGGACCUGAGCCAGCUUGCCGUCUUAACAAAAAUUUCAAACUUUGCAAAGCGGUAUACCUUCUUAUUCUCCAGUUCAGUAUUGCCAGUGAAGUCAUACUGAACGCAGACAAGGAAAAGAAAGAAAAAGGUCUUCCAAAUUAUGAAAAUUGGCAAUUGGGCGAUGUUCACAGUGUCCCGUCUACUGCCUGGGGCCCCUGUCAUGCAGCAGCUGCAGGUGAGUCACUGGCUGGGAGAGAAAGUGAGAACAGCUUUCCGUGCGGAGUUGCCUGACAGCCAUUCCCUGCUCAGGGCUCACCCUGCAGUCCUGUGGCUGAACAAGAUUUAGGCCAUGGUCACUACCUAGACUGAACCAAGGCUGAGAACUCUACAAAUACAAUAAGACUGCAGUAAAAGGAUCAAUUCAUUUUCAUAUCUGGAAAUCAUGAGAGGCUUCAUGGAGGAGAUAAUAUUUGAGCUGAGCUUGAAAAAUGAGCAGAAUUUUGAUAGAGUACAUCUCUGACUGAGGGAAGAGCAUAAGCAAGGAUCCCCAGUGCACGCCUGUCCCAUUCUUCAAGUAGUCCCAGCCCACUUCCUUUGGAGUAAGACACCUCUUCCAUGCAACAUUGCAAGAUCAAGCACCCUGCCCCUGCUGGACAUCGAUCAGGUGGGCACAUGGCUCAAGACAAGCCAAUCAGGUACUCCUCUGGGAUUUUGCUUAUAGAUGCUGAAAGCAAGAAGCUCUCUCUUUCUUCUGGAACUAAGCUGGGAUUAUGCGAGUCUAUAGCUGCCUGCCUGUGGCUGCAACUUCUGCACAAAUAAAGCCAAUUUGCAUUGGAAGAAAAUGAGCUCAAUGUGUUAACAGAACUAGAUGAGCAAGAGAGAGGUGACGGCUCCAUUUGAGGUCCUGAAACCAGCUUUAUCUUUGGACUUCCCAGUUACAUGAGCCAGUAAAUUUCCUUCAUUUACCUAAGCCAGCCACAUAAAAAGUUCUGAAUGAUACCCGUAGCUCUUAAUGGUGAGACUGAUCCGUGUUAACUCUUCAUGUUGACCAAGAACAUAUAACUAUACAAUUAUAAAGUAACUGUUUUUGUCUCUCACUGUCCCUUUAAUCCAGACCAUGGGACUCAUUUUCCCCUGCCACUAGCUGAAAAAUCAGGCAGUUGCAUGAGUUUUCUGGUUACUUUGGGGUAAUAAAAAUAAUCUCAAUCUGGUGAUUAAAAUGUUGAGUCCUACGAAUUUGAUUUAAAAUCAGCAUUUCUCCCCUCCUGCAGAUUGAGCAUGCUGCAUGCAGGAAGGGCUGCGGUCAUUUUCUUCUUUUUUUAACUCAUCGACUUUUUCUCCUCUUCUCCCAUCCCAAUAGCUGUGCUUUGUGGUUAGAAUCCAGAGAGAGGGAGAGAGGCAGGAGCUCCCUCUGAGAGCCACUGCUGUGCCACUCUGCUCCGGGGCCCUCUUGGCUUGGCGGGCAUUUCAGAUUGCCCACAGGGCAGCUGCUUUCUCCAUGGAGUGC